rnacentral:rRNA from 1 species
AUCAAUACACAAAAGAUGAUUGUUGCGGCUACUAUGACACUACACAACUACAUCCGCCUCCAUGACAAGGAGGAUCUCCACUUUCUUCGGUGUGGUGAGAGGGAUCCGGAUUAUGUUCCAACUAUUCCAGAAAGAUACAAGAGAUACGUUAUUCCUCCAAAUGCAUCGGAUGCUUCAACAUCGGCGGAAAGUGCUCUUAACAUGAAUUUGUUUAGGCAUGAACUAGCUACCGCCAUUGCUCUUAGUUCGUGA